rfam:Gossypium hirsutum cultivar TM-1 unplaced genomic scaffold scaffold4502.1, whole genome shotgun sequence
UGUUAAAAAUUUCAUCUAUUUGUAUUGUUAAAAAUUGGCAUGGUUGAUGGAAUAAUCAGAAAGUGAAAUGUGAUGUCAUAUGUACCUCAUGCUGAUGUAGGGAUCAGUUUUUAACAGUAAAAAUGGAUGGAAUCUUUAACA